rnacentral:rRNA from 1 species
GACGAACGCUGGCGGCGUGCUUAACACAUGCAAGUCGAACGGAAAGGCCUUUUCGGAGGUACUCGAGUGGCGAACGGGUGAGUAACACGUGGGUGAUCUGCCCUGCACUCUGGGAUAAGCCUGGGAAACUGGGUCUAAUACCGGAUAGGACCGCACUUUAGUGUGUGUGGGGGAAAGAUUUUUCGGUGUAGGAUGAGCCCGCGGCCUAUCAGCUUGUUGGUGGGGUAAUGGCCUACCAAGGCGGCGACGUGUAGCCGGACUGAGAGGUUGGCCGGCCACAUUGGGACUGAGAUACGGCCCAGACUCCUACGGGAGGCAGCAGUGGGGAAUAUUGCACAAGGGGCGCAAGCCUGAUGCAGCGACGCCGCGUGGGGGAUGACGGCCUUCGGGUUGUAAACUCCUUUCGCCAGGGACGAAGCGUUUUGUGACGGUACCUGGAGAAGAAGCACCGGCUAACUACGUG